GCAGUCGUGGCCGAGUGGUUAAGGCGAUGGACUUGAAAUCCAUUGGGGUCUCCCCGCGCAGGUUCGAAUCCUGCGGCUGCG
rnacentral:tRNA from 1 species